AUACUUGCAAAACUGAAUGGGGGAAUAGGACAGUGUUAUUUUGCAGCGUCGGCCAUUCCUGCAAACCUCUUCCAUGACCUGUUUACGAUGAAAUGAUAUCGAUACUAGAAGUACGGUGGCGUAUAAGUGUAUAUAAUGGCUACUGCCCCCGAACAAUUCCACCAAAUGCAGACAGCUAUCAACUGCGACACAUGUGAAAAUACUGCUAAACAUUUGUGUAAAAACUGCCAUGACCGACUAUGUGAUAGGUGCAAAGAUAUCCAUUCCAAAAGUAAAGGCACUUUUGAUCACGAGGUCGUUUUACUGACAUUUGAAUCGCUAACUUUGCCCCCUGAAUGUCCAUCGCACGUUAUCUGCAUGUGGCAUCCGAAAUUCCGUGCAAGUAUUGGAUGUCAGAAAUGCGAGGUUCCAGUGUGUGAGAAAUGUCUUAUCGGAGAGCAUAAUGGUCAUAAAGUGAUAGAAUUCAGCCAGUUGUUUGAAGUUAAGAAAGCAAAAAUGAAACAGAAGCUAUCCACAGUUGUCUCUGAGCUUCCAAAAUAUGAAUCAAUGCUAGCAAAAGUAGAAGGAAUGAAAAAGACAGUGGUCAAGAAUAAGGAUGUAGUGAAGAAAGAAAUCAACAGUCAUUUUGAAUUAACUAUUUCAUUUCUAACUUCAUGUAAAGAGAAGCUGUUGAAAAGUGUUGAUGUGAAAACUUCAGACGACCUAUCAAGUCAAUGAUUUACAAACCUAUAUACAAAAUAUGGUGGAAUACAAAGCCAACUUUCAAAAUGAAGAUCUACAAGAAAGAUUAUUAUUCAUCCUAUACGGCGUUUGUUCUACUAAUGAUAUCAUACCAGAAAAGUGUCCACCGUUUAUAAACCCGGGGAUUCUAAAAUAUUUGGAAGGCUGCUUAGAGAAUCCUUUCAUGCAUAAAAUUUCUGGAGAUAUAUGCAAAAGGUUCGAGAACACCAAACUACUAAGGGAGGGGAAGUUAGUUAAAAAUAUUGAUCUCCUCCAGGAAAAAAUUGAAUCCCUGAGCUUUGAUUCAGGGUUUUUCUGGGUUUUUUCAUCAAAUAAAACUGCUUUUUGUAAAUACGACCAAGAAGGCAAUUGUGUUGACACAGUUCAAGUAAAUAUUCAUCUAUUGAAAAAUCAUCCGUUUUGCGUCGUUGAUAACGAAGGAGUACGCGCUAUAUUUAGGAGCGAAACGCAUAAAGUCUUAAUGAUCAAAGAUUCGUGUAAGAAAAUGUUUAUCGACGUUUCACCCUUCGCGGUUACUUGUAUGUGUUUAACCAGAGACUGUGAAAUAUUGGCAGGAUUGUCAAAUUCAACAGAAAAUUAUUUUGGUAUUGCUAUUUAUAAUCUUGAAGGUGUGCGCAAACAGUUUAUUACACAGGUGAUGAAAAAAUGGUCUCGAGAACCUCUUUUGUCGGGAAACAGUUUUCGUCCAUAUAUCGUCGAAAAUGUCAAUGGGGACAUUUGUCUAUCGGUUGAAACAAAUUUAAGUAAUGUUGUAAAUGUUAUCCGUCCAAAUGGAGAUCAUAGGUUUACCUACGAAGGGAAUGGAACUUCUUUAUAUCAGUUGUUUCUACCCCGGGGAAUAUGUACCAAUGUGUUAGGUCACAUACUUAUUGCAGAUGAAAACAAUCAUGGGAUCCAUGUGCUGGACAAAGACGGUGGUUUCCUGGCCGUCCUAAACAUUCCGGGCGAACCACGGGUCAUUCCAAUAUCUUUAUGCAUAGACCGCCAAAACAACCUCUGCAUUGGCUGUGCAGAUGGGAAAAUAAGAAUCCUGAAAUAUCUAGAAUAAUCGUUGUGGGAUUCUCAAAAUGUCCGUCUUCACUUAAUUAGUGGUUUACUGUACUGUUGAUUUUUGUUUAUUUGUCUACAUAUUUUUUAAGUAAGCUUAUAAACGUUUUGUUUCUGUUAGAUGUACAUGUACAUGCAUUUCGCUUGCAUGGUAUUUGAUAUUGAAGAAAUAGAUAUUUUUCACACAUGUACAUACAUGCAAAUGAAGUUUUGAUGACAC
rnacentral:sRNA from 1 species